rnacentral:lncRNA from 1 species
GCUGCUAUGCUUAAUCAGGCUUUGAUAUCAUGUUAGAGACCAACAGCAUCUUGGUAUCACCAUGGAUCUGAUACCAAUUGUUGAAGGACCACCUUUAUCCAUGUGGACCUGAGAAAAACUCGUGAUGCAUCUUUCUCAAGGACAGCAACCAUCCCUAGAUCCGGGCUUGAUUCUUGAUACCACAUGCCCCCUUCUAGGGAAAGGGGGCACGCGUGAUGCCUUAGGAGUUGCAUGCAAACUUGAGAGAGAGGAAGAGAGAAAGACAGCUAGAGUUUUCAGGAGAAAA